UACGUAGGGGGCAAGCGUUGUCCGGAAUCAUUGGGCGUAAAGAGCGUGUAGGCGGCCCGGUAAGUCCGCUGUGAAAGUCCAGGGCUCAACCCUGGGAUGCCGGUGGAUACUGUCGGGCUCGAGUCCGGAAGAGGAGUGUGGAAUUCCUGGUGUAGCGGUGAAAUGCGCAGAUAUCAGGAGGAACACCGGCGGCGAAGGCGGCCCUCUGGAUCGUUGCUGACGCUGAGACGCGAAAGCGUGGGGAGCAAACAGG
rnacentral:rRNA from 1 species